AUGUGUGCAUGCGUGUGUGUGUAUAUAUGUGUGUGUGUGUGUCGGUAUAUACACACACACACACACACACACACACAUAUACAUACACAUAU
rnacentral:miRNA from 11 species